UCGCGUAUCAGAAUGACGCGGUGAAUACGUUCCCGGGCCUUGUACACACCGCCCGUCACACCAUGGGAGUGGGUUGCUCCAGAAGUAGAUAGUCUAACCCUCGGGAGGACGUUUACCACGGAGUGAUUCAUGACUGGGGUGAAGUCGUAACAAGGUAGCCCUAGGGGAACCUGGGGCUGGAUCACCUCCUUAUACGA
rnacentral:rRNA from 1 species